rnacentral:rRNA from 1 species
AUGUUUGCUAACAGUGUCCUUGUUGACAGCCAUAGCAAAAUUCAGGUCCUUAUGUGGACCAAUGGAAGGAGUAGAUACCAAUACAAAAAAUUUGGAGAUUCUAUCACAUUCGACACCACAUAUCGUACAAACCAGUACGAUAUGCCAUUCGGUCUAUUUGUUGGUGUCAACCAUCAUUUCCAGAGCAUAAUAUUAGGAGGUGUUAUGAUGAGAAACGAGAAGCAAGAAUUAUUCGAGUGGGUAUUCAAGGAAUUUGUUUCAUUGAUGGGAGGUAAAGCACCUGUAACUAUCCUAACAGUAACUAUCCUAACAGACCAAUGCCCUGCAAUGGAGUUGGCUAUUGCUAAAGUGUUGCCAGGA